GACGAACGCUGGCGGCGUGCUUAACACAUGCAAGUCGAACGGAAAGGCCCUGCUUUUGUGGGGUGCUCGAGUGGCGAACGGGUGAGUAACACGUGAGUAACCUGCCCUUGACUUUGGGAUAACUUCAGGAAACUGGGGCUAAUACCGGAUAGGAGCUCCUGCUGCAUGGUGGGGGUUGGAAAGUUUCGGCGGUUGGGGAUGGACUCGCGGCUUAUCAGCUUGUCGGUGGGGUAGUGGCUUACCAAGGCUUUGACGGGUAGCCGGCCUGGGAGGGUGACCGGCCACAUUGGGACUGAGAUACGGCCCAGACUCCUACGGGAGGCAGCAGUGGGGAAUAUUGCACAAUGGGCGGAAGCCUGAUGCAGCAACGCCGCGUGCGGGAUGACGGCCUUCGGGUUGUAAACCGCUUUCGCCUGUGACGAAGCGUGAGUGACGGUAAUGGGUAAAGAAGCACCGGCUAACUACGUG
rnacentral:rRNA from 1 species